CUAUUUCAACCACCAGGCUUCUUAGUGGACUUAGGAGUUUCUUGUCAGCCUUAUGACUAUGAAGAAGACUGGGAAUUGUAGCACAGCCUGUUUUUCUGGAGCUAAAAAUAUGGAGAUGCAAUCAAGUUAAGAAGAAAAUCAAAAGUAUGCAGAUGUAGUGGGCAUAAUAUGAGGGGCUCAGUCUACAUACCUGUUUCAUACAAAUGAAGAUUGAUGAUUGAGCCACUCAGAGGAAGACACAAGCCUUCGAGGGAAGAUAUCAGCCUCCAAGCAGAAAAGAGAAGUUGCUGUAAAGCCUACUGGGACUGGAAAGAUUCAAACCCCAGAGGAAUCUGGUACUGCAGGAACUUCUGUCCUAGUCUCAGAAGAAUGUCUGCAUAAGAAGGAAUUUGAGGAAGUAGACAAAUACUUCUUGUCUCUACAUCUUUUCUCCCAUCACUGAUAAUUACUCCCAGCUGGGUAGACACACAACUGGUCCUACAAAGUGAUUGUCACUUCCUUUCAUUAUACCAAUUAUCAUUGACUAAUGGGAGCAUAUAUCUGUAUAAUCCUAAUCAUUUUCUAAAUAAAUGGCGAUCUAGGAGGAAACA
rnacentral:lncRNA from 1 species